rnacentral:rRNA from 1 species
CCUACGGGAGGCAGCAGUGAGGAAUAUUGGUCAAUGGGCGCGAGCCUGAACCAGCCAAGUCGCGUGAGGGAAGACGGUCCUAUGGAUUGUAAACCUCUUUUGUCGGGGAGCAAAAGACGCCACGCGUGGCGUUCCGAGAGUACCUGAAGAACAAGCAUCGGCUAACUCCGUGCCAGCAGCCGCGGUAAUACGGGGGAUGCGAGCGUUAUCCGGAUUUAUUGGGUUUAAAGGGUGCGCAGGAGGAAGAUCAAGUCGUCGGUAAAAUUGUGAGGAUCAACCGCUUCUAGCCGUUGAUACUGGUUUUCUUGAGUGAACGAGAAGUAUGCGGAAUUCGUGGUGUAGCGGUGAAAUGCAUAGAUAUCACGCAGAACUCAGAUUGCGAAGGCAGCAUACCAGCGCUCAACUGACGCUCAUGCACGAAAGUGUGGGUAUCGAACAGGAUUAGAUACACGAGUAGUC